UGCGUUUCUAUUUCUUGUUCACCGACAAUGUGCUCCUCCUCUCUUCACUGUCGGAUUCUUCUCCUCACAGUCAGACUUUUCUCCUCCCAUCAACCUUCUCCUCUGGUCGCCGAAGCUGUGCCACCGUUGGGAGUGGUGGAAGCUGGUUGAUUUCUCCUCUCUUCCUUGGUUGCUGUCGUGGUGGUUCUUCUUCUUCCUUGAUCUAGUUCUACUUGUUCUUCCUUCUUCGUAUUCGUCCGUCACUGAUGGAGGCCAAGUUCUCAUUUCUUCCUUUCUUUUUUCUCAAUCACGCCAUCGACCAGAGCUGGUAUCUUCCUCCUUGCUUUGCGACAGCACUAUUCUAUGUGUGAGGGGGAGACUCCAAAUCUUUCAAUCCUUUUUCUUCUUUGCUUUUUGAUUUAUCUUCUUUCUGGGAGAAAAAAACACAGCAUUUUUGCGUUCGCUUUCUCUUCACCGACAUCUUGCUCUUCUUCUCUCCUCACCGUCUCGAAUUCCUCCCUCACUGUCGGACUGCUCUCCUUGCUGUCACCCUUCUCCUCUGCUCGCCGAAUCUUGUUGUCACUGCUCGCCUCCUCGCCACCGUGAUAGUGUGCUGUGAUUUUCUGCUGCUGCUUCACGUUCCUCUGUUUCUUUCUAUCCUCGGUGCUGGCGUGGUGUGCAUGGGUGACCAGGGAGUUUGGGCUUCUGCCUUCCUCCGGUGGUCUGCAUGCUUAAGAAAUUGAUUUUCGGCAUCAUUGGAGUAAGUGAGAAAUUGAGGGAGUCUGAAUAUAAGGUUUUUCGAAACUUUCAGUUCUGUUAGCCUUUGGUUCGCCAUGAUAUACUUAGCUAGCAGGGUGCUUAUAGGAGGUGCAAGUCUUGUGCAAUGUCCAAUGUAUGUGGAUCGGAGGGUAAGUUAUUCGUGAGCAUUAUACUUAUACUUGUUUUCAUAGGCUUCAUGCUUGUAUUAGUUUCGUGCUUUCAGCUAUGCUUGGCUAGUUAUUUACCCUCGUAGAUUGUGUGUCCACGCUUGAUUUGUUAUUUACCCUCGUGAAUUAUGUGUUCACGCUUGUUAUUCAUUCUGAUAAAACCCUCCUAAAUUUAAGUUAAAAUUUAUCAUUUCUCUAGUAAUUCUCUAAAAGUACUUUAUCAAACUAUAUUAUUAUUGAAAAUUUCAUAUUUUAUGAGUAGUAAAAUUUUUAACACAUUUAUGUGAUUCUGUUAGCAUUGUUUAAUUUCAUGAUUAUAUUAUUGAGAAAAUCAUUAUUUAUUUCUAGUCUAAGUAUAUGAUUUAUUAUUUUUUUAAGUCAUUUUGAGUUAAAUUUAUUAUUUAUUAUCUUCAUACUUUCUUUAUUACAAUUUUGAUUCGAACGCUUCUUAUCGGUAAUUUCUUUGUUCUCAGAUAUUGUAGCUGACCCUACAUCUCCGGCGGAUCAUUGUGGGGUCAUUUUGUUUUUGGAAAAGAGGAAGCCUAUUGUGAUUAUUGUUUUGGUAAAACUACAUAUUUUAUUUUGUAAUCAUAGCUUAGUACUCCACGGGCACCAUAGUUAGGUCUCAGUCUUGUUUUGUUAUUAUGUAAAUUGUUGGAAUGGAGUUAGUCUCUUUGCUGGUUUGGUUGAUAGGUUUUGCUGUUAUAGAAAUUUUGAAAGGUUCAAAUUAUAGGAGGAACCCUGUCGAAAUUUCUGCAAAAGAUUUAAAACUUUAUGAACUUUAUUAUAUAUAACUUAUAUAUAUCGAUAAUUUAGCUUAAUUUCUGAUUAGUCAAGAUUUAUGAAUAUGAGUUCACCUCAUACUUCAUGCCAAUCAUACCCUUAGUAUUGUGAUAUGACAUGUACGAUAUGGUUCAUAUCUUGUGCUAAUCACCCUCUAUUUUUGGGGUGUAACGAAAUAUGGCCGAGUCUUUUUCUCAGAUGCCUAAGCAAUUGUUGCGUAGUCAUCUCAUUUGACGAAUUACAAAGGUACGCAUUUUCUUUUUCUGUUAUCAUCUUGCCUGUCUCUUUUCUCUCUCCCUCUCUCGCUUCUAUAAGUUCUUUCCCCUCUUUCUUCUUCAUCAGUUUCUUCUUAGCUUUAUUAUCUCUCAUUUCUUGAUCGGUUUCUUCUUCUUCUUUGUAGUCUUCUCCUCCUCCUCCUCCUCCUACUCCUCCACGGAUGAAUUAGUCAGAAUGAGUGGAUGGAAAAAUUGAGGGAAGGAAAUGAAAUAAAUUUCUAGAACAACGCUGCCGGAAAUCUCUCCUCCAUUAUGGCUGUUUCAAUUUCGGUUCUGCAUUUUCCCUUCAAUUUUCAAUUGAAAUUUAUUUACUUUUUGUUUCCAAGGGGGUGCUUUUUGAUUUGUUUUGUUGAUUUAUUUUGUUUGAUGUAUUAUCCCUGCCUCUGCUGAUUCAGUAUGUUUUUUUGGUUUAAACUACAGGCAGCAAUAUCUUGUAGAAAAGUUUUGAUACAUUAUUUAUUUCUUGCCUGUAGUAGGAUAGUUGAAAGCACUUCAUUUUUUUUUAAUUUUCCUGCGUUCUGUAGCAGUGAUAGUUUAAAGCACUUCAUCUUUGUUGAUCUGUAGAUUCAGUUCGCAUAGUUAAUUUAUUUAUCUUUGUUGAUCAGAGUAGUUUCAGUUCGCCUUUUCUUCCAUUGACUUAAGGAUCAUAAAAGCUUUAUAUGUUAAAUUUGGAAGGAUGCUUGGGAAAAUCUGCAUCUUUGGGUUCUCUAGCAGAUGUCACAACAAAAAUGGGCUUGUUGCUGUGAUUAUCCAGGUAUCUUGCUAAAAAAUGAGGAAAGCCUGGAAGUCCUUGAAAUGAUGAUCCUAGCCAACAAAAAGUCAGAUACUGAACGACAGUUAAUGAGUUCACAACAAUGCAAAUUUAGUCAGAUUGACCUUUCAUUGAUUGGCCUUUAAUAUCCCUUUCACUCUUUCAAAGGACCAGACUGCAUUUUUUUCCAACAUUUUAGGAAGUCCAAUUUUGCAGAUUGGCCUUUCCAUGUAUAAUGAUUUUCAUAUCUUUGAAGUCUUGGUAUUAUCCUCCAUAUCCAUGCGUGACAAUUAUUGUCACUGUAAUUGUUAUAUGCUCUGUUUCUACUCUUGCCUCUUGAGAAUAAUAAUUAUUAAAACAAGUUUUGGAGUAAUGCUUUUUCAGUUUUUGAAGCUGUCUAUCAAAGAACAAAUCUGAACAACUUGGAGCACAAUGAAUUAAAUAAAAUGGAAGUACACUAAUGUAACUAAAAAUUAAGGGAUCUUUUGUACAAAUCUGAACCUUGGUAAUUUAUCCAGUGGCAGCAUGUUCCCUAUUUGAAAGCAUGAGUUUUGUAUGGUUAUUUUAUUCCAAAUUAUUAUUAAUUUUACUAGGCUUCCCAAUAUUCUUCUCAUUGUUUAUUUAUUUCUUUGUAGAGUGAUGAACUUUAGUCUGAUUGACUUUAUUUGUGGCAAAUUGGUCCUUCCGUUUAUGAUUUUGGUUUAUGAAAGGCUCUUCUUUAGGAGACAUAGAAUCACGUCUUUUAGAGAUGAACAUGAUAUUGUUAGUUCAAUAUGCUCCUGUGAGGAGAGACCUAAGUGCGUUGUUGAAUAUGCAAGGAAGUCUUCUUUAACAAACUUUGCUUUUGCUGCAUGAGUUUUUUGGGACCCAAAUUUUUGAAAUGAAAUGAAAUCUUCUGAAAGCGUGUUAUAUUUAUACACCGAAGUGUCUUUAUAGAGAAGCUAAUUGCCUAGCUGAUUGCUUAGCUGGGAUUUGUCAUACUUUUGUAAACGAUUUGUAUAUCAUUGAUAAAAGAACCUCCUUUCUUAGUAGGGUGGUAGUUGCUGCUUUUUUGCUUUGUACUGCUACUGUUGCUGUUUUGAUUUCAUUUUUCAUACAAAAAAAGUGUCUUUUCCAGGUUAAAUCACUACGUUUUGUUAAGUAAAAGCUAAGUGACUUUCUUUGUCAUUGUAGUUAAGCAGAGUGAGAGAGAGAGAGAGCAACGUUUCAGAGGAAAAGAACAUGCAAAGUAUAAGUGAAGAUAUAAAUAAAUUUAAAUGAUAAAUUUCCAUUCAAACAUUGGCGUGAAAGGUACUUCAUUAAAAAAAAGAAAGAGAAAAAACUCACUUUUCUUUCUUUGUAAUUUUCGUUAUUUUCCUCGUGUGCAACAGUUUUGGCAAACUCCAGUUUCCACUAUUAAGAAAUUGAAUGGUUUGAUUUGUUACACAAAUCCUUGCCUUUUAAAAUGAUCUAUGGCAAUUAGUUAUUAAAUUUGUUUGUCAAUUUAACAUGCAAGGGAUACUGUGUUUGUGCUGUAGCUAUUUGGAAAAGAGACAGAGAGUGGGAUUUUGGUUUUGUAUAGGAAGGAGCUCUGCAAUGAUUUUAGCCUUGAUUUUGGUUUAUAAUCACGUGCUUAUCACAGUUUGUAGUCCAAAAUUUACUCAUCACGGAUGAAGUCAGAUUUCCCCUACUUCUUUGUUGGGAUUUUGCAACAACUCUAGGUACAUCAUUUAUGAAGGGAAGCUAAUUUUUUUGCGUACAGCUAUACUCUUGGUCUUUUCAAUUUUACUUCAAUGAUUUUUGUUCAGUCAGACACAUUUUGGACCUCAUCUCAGUCUAUUUUCUUAGUUUGUUUAGUUGGUUGUUAGUGGUGAAGCAAUAGCUGCUGCUGGUCUUGUAGCUGAAGCUAAGAAAGAUCAAAAGAAGGUUGAGAAGAAAACAACUUUAGCAUCACAAAAUCUUUGAUCUUUCUCAUAAAACAACUCUAGCAUUACAAAAUCUUAAUUAUCAUGCUAGGAAGAAGAAAACAAGCCUGUGAUCCUCUUUCCAAUAUUCCAAGAGACUUUCAGAAUAUAAAGAGUUUUAAUUUUUUUAGUAACAUUAAAGAAUAUUAGUAUCAAGUAUUAGUUAAGGAUAUUCUAACUUAAUAGCGAAAACAAACUAAAGCUUUAAUCAAACAUGGUUUUUUUUUUUUUUUUGAGGGGG